rnacentral:rRNA from 1 species
AUUGAACGCUGGCGGCAGGCCUAACACAUGCAAGUCGAGCGGAGCGGCGGACGGGUGAGUAAUGCCUAGGAAUCUGCAUGGUAGUGGGGGAUAACGUCCGGACACGGGCGCUAAUACCGCAUACUAUCAGAUGAGCCUCGGUCGGAUUAGCUAGUUGGGGGGGUAAAGGCAUACCAAGGCGACGGUCCGUAACUGGUCUGAGAGGAUGAUCAGUCACACUGGAACUGAGACACGGUCCAGACGCCUACGGGAGGCAGCAGUCGGGAAUAUUGGACAAUGGGCGAAAGCCUGAUCCAGCCAUGCCGCGUGUGUGAAGAAGGUCUUCGGAUUGUAAAGCACUUUAAGUUGGGAGGCGUUACCAACAGAAUAAGCACCGGCUAACUUCGUGCCAGCCGCCGCGGUAAUAC